rnacentral:lncRNA from 1 species
CUAUGACAUCAUAGCAUAGGAUUUAGGAGUAUAGGGUAUAGAGCCAGAUUUAUCGAAUUUGUGAACAAGUUUUAUCAUUUCCUAGGGAAAUGCAACAGAAAUUAUUUCCACGCUUGUAUGACCUCAUAAUGUUGCUUUAAGCAUAGGUGGGUUAGAUAUAAAGCAGGUAAAGCCAGACUGAUUGAAUAAAAUUUUUGUACAGGCCUGAAUAGGUCUAAGUCUCAAAAAAGAGUUUUUCUUCCUUCCUUUCAAUUUAAAUAUUUCUCAACUCAAGAGGUUUGUAUCAGUUGUCUACUCUACCUAACAAACAGAAACUUUAUUGGAGUAUUGCAUGCCAGGCUACUGCUCUUCCUCACUUAAUGUAGUUCUACAAGUUCUAUCAACCAGUGCUGAACUUCUGAGGGACAUGUAAAUCUUCAAAAUAUGGAUAAAAAUAUUAUCUACUUUUAAUAUAUAUUUUCUUAUAUAUUCUUCAAGCUGAAGUUGACAUGGCACAUUUUCCUAGUCACAUACCCUCUAUGUUCUUGGUAUUACUUUCAGAAUCACCGCCCCACUCUCAGACACACACAGUUGAGGGAUGUUCUCCAAUGAAUCUGACUUUUGGUUGACAUUGCAUGUUUUCUCCAAUCAGAGUAAAAAUGUUUUUUGAAUAUCUGACUCAUUACACAUUGUUUGAUACCCCUUUUGAUAUUACUAAGAAGAUAAUAUUGUUAUUGCAUAUGCCUGUCCCUGCGCAUUAAUCUUGUCACCUUCCUUAAUCCCAUUAAUAAUAAUCUCAUCACCUUCCUUAAUAAAAAUUAUGUGGGCUAAAGCCUAGGGGCCUUUGUUCUACAGAACAGAGUGCCUCCUGGUCCCCCACUUUCUAAAUGUAAGAGUCUUGUGUGUUCUGUUAUACCCUGCCGUGCCUCUUCCAGGAUUCCCCGUUUCCCUGCAGCACUGGACAUGGCAAUACAUAGUGUUAGCACUCCAUUAAUGUUGAAUAACUGAAUAGCUAAAUGAACAUAGGGUCAUGAAUACUUACUCUCAUUCUAAGGAUUAGAGUUGAUUCUACUAAUAUAAUAUAUAUCAACUGCUCAACCUCAUAGAGCAUCUGUUAAGCAUGACCUUUAGAAUUUCUGGCAAUAGUGAUAGAUAGGUAAACAAGAUAAUACCAAAUGAUGUAAUUGGAAAGAAUAGAUAGAAGACAAAGAAAUGAGAAAUUUAACAAUUUUAAGAAAAACAGUGGUGGUAUUAAGUUUACUAAAGUAAGCUGUCCUGUGUGCUUGAAUCUUGACCCAGGCAGAGACAUAAUUCAUUAAUUAAACUGUUGCUAAUUUAAAACCGGCAACACAAAAGUAAUUUAUUAUAAAUAAUUAAAAGACUUUCCCUAUCAUAGUCAUUUACAUCAUAAUGAGCCAAUUAUUCUUUGCUAUAUAAAUUUACUGAAUCUCAAUGGCAAGCAAAGAGAGAGGACACUUAAAAUUAUAGUCACAGUGAAGCUAGCAUGAUGUUUUCCCCUUGUAAUUUUUUCACAAUAUAUUUUGUAAAUUAUCUGGAAUUUCAUACAGCUAUAAUAAUAUUAAUGGUUAGCCAUUACAUUUUAUAAUGUUAAUAAAAAAACUAUAUAUAAAAUACAUGCAGUGAAACAUUAGCUGUAGUAGUUAAGAUGUGGAUUCUGAAGUAAUUCCUCCACAUAGUUUUACAACUUAGGAAGUAAUGUAUCGUUUCUUUGCUUUAACUUUCUCAUCCAUAAAAUGGGAAAAUAAUUUUUAGCUUCCUUAUGGGAAAUUUCUGAGGACUAAAAUCAAUAACAUGCAGAAUUUGUAAAUAAAUAUCUGACAUUAAUAAGCAUUGAAUAAAUAGCAAUUACUAUCAUCAGUAUUAUUAUAUCAAUUCAUCUACUCAAGAGAAAAACAAAAUAAAACAGGUAUAUACAGUUUUAAGAUGAUAAUAUAAAGUUAAUCCUUAAUUCCAAUUUAUUUAUAAAUCUCCAAUUGAUAGGUCACAAUUUUAAAAAGAAACAAAGAGAAAGAAAAAAGAUGGUGGAAGAGUAGGGGGAUGCACUCGCCCUCUCCCACAAACACAACAAAAAAACACAUCUACACAUAAAGCGACUCACACAGAACAACAACUGAAUGCUAGCAGAACUUAAACCGCCAAAAACGGCAAGAAUCUCUUGACAUAACUGGGUAAAACAAGAGAAAAGAGGAGAGAGAGAAGGGGAAUCAGGACUGGACUGGCACUCCUGAGAGGGAACUGUGAAAGAGAAAGGGAACCUACACACUGGAAAGUCACCUAAUGGAUAGAAAGUUCUACCCAGUCGGAGGGAUCUCAGACUCUCAGAAAAGCAGAGCAGCAGGUCUGAGAUCUAAAAAGCAGAGUGAGAGCCGCACAGAUCAUCUGAACCACUGGUACAGACACCAAAAACCUAGAUGCUCAGAUGGAGGCUGGGCACCUACACCUAGGCCCUGGAGGUUAGUCCCUAGGAAUGGGCUGGGGUUGACAGUGUGGAGACAGCCUGAGGGAUUAGGAAACCUUGUGACGGGACGGAGGGAGCAAUACGCUAAGGGCUGGGGAGUGGAAAGCCACAACAGAGGGAACUUGAGAGAAGGUUCGGACCCACAGGUGAGACAAGGCAUCAGUGUUGGGGAGGGGAGAGGAAGAGGGGCUGGCUGCCAUAGAAUACUCCCUGCACCCCAGCGUGUGUGCUUGCCUGCCAGCUAGAAGAGAGCAGAGCUUCCCAGCACAUCCUCCAUCCCCCACCCAGUGAGCACCUGGUCAGAAGCUGCCUGCCAUCCCAGUGGACUGGCCUUAUUACCCUCAGGAAGCCAUACACCACUGCCGCUUUCCCCAGUCAGAUGGCCUGCACACAGGAAGCGCCCCACUCCUGCGGAGCAAGCUGCAGCACCGCUCGCCCUCGGGAAGAGCUCCACAGCCCAGGAGUACCAGGGCAAGCCCUGCCGGGCCACAGAUAGUGUGCUUACACUGCAGUGCACCUGCCAGUCCCUCGAGAAGCACUCCUUUGCCUCAGAGCCAGCCGGUUAGCCCCACUGGCCCUCAGGAAGUGCUGCACUCCCACGGAGCAAGCCGCCCAGCACCAUCAGCCCUCAGGAAGAGCUCCACAGCCCAGGAGCACCAGGGCAAGCCCUGCCUGGCCACGGGGAGUGCACCUCCACCAUGAAAAAGAAAAACACAAGCAAGAUAAAGAAGCUCAGAAACCAUUCCCAGUUAAACCAACAGGAGAACUCCCCUAAAGCAGUCAACAAUGAAACAACUCUGCAGUCUGACAGACUUGGAGUUCAAAAGGGAGAAAAGGGAGAUAGUGAAAAUACUGAAGGAAUUAAGAGAAAAUAUGAACAGUAAUGCAGACUCCCUCAGAAAGGAACUAGAAAAUAUAAGGAGGAGCCAAGAAAAACUAGAAAAUUCAUUUGCAAAGAUACAAACGGAGCUAAGGGUAGUUAAAACCAAAAUGAAUAAUGCAGAGGAACAAAUUAGUGACGUGGAAGAUAGAAUAAGUUGGGAAAUCACCCAAACCAACUGAAAAAACAUGAAAGCAAUAUGAGAGACCUAUGGGAUAAUAUAAAGUGGGCCAAUCUACACAUAAUAGGAAUUCUGGAAGGAGAAGAAAAAGAAAAGGAGAUGAAAUAUAUUUGAAGAAAUUAUCACUGAGAAUUUUCCAAAUUUAAAGGAUACUGAUUCAAGAUAAAGGAAGCACAGAGGUUCCCAAAGAAGUUGAACCGAAUAGACCCACACCAAGACAUGUUAUAAUAAAAAUGGUAAAAAUUAAUGAUAAAGAGAGGAUCCUAAAGGCAACAAGAGAAAAGCAAAGUGUCAUUUAUAAGGGAACCCCCAUAAGGCUAUCAGCUGAUUUCUCUACAGAAACUCUACAGGCCAGGAGGGAAUGGCAAGAGAUAUUUAAAGCACUGAAAGGAAAAAAUAUGCAACCUAGAAUACUCUAGCCAGCAAGAAUAUCAUUUAGAAUAGAAGGGGAAAUAAAAAAUUUUUCCAACCAAAAAAAGGCUAAAAGAAUAUAGCAAUACAAAACCCAUCUAAAAUAAAUACUUCUCUAAAUUAAAAAAAAAAAAGAGGAAGAACUAGGAUGGAGGAAACAACAAUCAGAGAGCAGUCACUUAAAUAAGCCAGCAUACAGAUCUAAUCAUGAAGAUGUUUAAAAUAAAAUUAAAUUAAAAAAAUAAAAAUCAUAAAACAUGGGCAAGGGAAGUAAGGAAAUGAAUAGAUUCUUUUUUUCCUUUUUCUUAAAAUUUUGUUAUGGUAAUGAAGUGUUUGAAUCUACAGGACUAUCAGACUAAAACACACAAUAAUAGGAAGGGGUUAACAUAAUUAAAGAACAGGGCAACCACAAAUCAAAACCAAACAUUAUAUUCACAAGAAAUGAAAAGAAAAACACUCAAGCAGAAAAUAAUUGGAGACCAUCCAACCAAAAAAAGAAAGCAGGAAUGGAGAAUCGUAGAAUCAACUGGAAAAUGAGGUUUAAAAUGGCAAUAAAUAAUCAUCUAUCAAUUAUUACCUUAAAUGUCCAUGGACUGAAUGCUCCAAUCAAAAGACAGAGAGUGGCUGAUUGGAUUAAAAAGCAAAAACCUUCAAUCUUCUGCCUACAAGAAACUCACAUUAGGACAAAGGACACAUACAGAUUGAAAGCAAGGGGAUGGGAAAAGAUAUUUCAUGCCAACGGAAAAGACAGGAAAGCAGGAGUUGCAAUACUCAUAUCAAACAAAAUAGACUUUAAAACGAAGGCCAUAAAGAAAGACAAAUAAGGACACUAUUUAAUGGUUAAGGGAUCAUUUCAAGAAGAGGAUAUUACAAUCAUCAACAUAUAUGCCCCAAAUAUAGGAUCACCCAGAUACAUACAACAAAUAUUAACAGACAUAAAAGGAGAAAUUGAUGGGAAUACAGUCAUAGUAGGAGACUUUAAUACCCCACUCACAUCAAUGGACAAAUUCUCUAGACAGAAAACCAAUAAAGCAACAGAGAUCCUAAAGGAAGCAAUAGAAAAGUUAGACUUAAUUGACAUUUUGAAGACAUUACAUCCAAAAAAAUCAGAAUACACAUUCUUCUCAAGUGCACAUGGAACAUUUUCAAGAAUUAAACACAUAUUGAGGCACAAAGCUAACCUCAACAAAUUAGGAGCAUAGAAAUUAUUUCAAGUAUCCUCUCUGACCACAAUGGCAUGAAAGUAGAAAUCAACCACAGGAAAAGAAAUGAGAAAAAGCCUACUACAUGGAGACUAAACAACAUGCUACUAAAAAACUAAUGGGUCAAUGAGGAAAUCAAGAAGGAAAUUAAACAAUACUUCGAGACAAACAAUAAUGAAGGCACAACCACUCAAAAUCUAUGGGACACCACAAAAGCAGUUCUCAGAGGGAAAUUUGUAGCAAUACAGGCUUUCCUCAAAAAAGGAGAAAGAUCUCAAAUUGACAACUUAACCCACCACCUAAAUGAAUUAGAAAAAGAACAAAAAAGUCCUAAAGUCAGCAGAAGGAAGGAAAUUAUAAAGAUCAAAGAAAAAAAUCAAUAAAAUAGAGAUUCAAAUAACAAUAGAGAAAAUUAAUAAAACCAAGAGCUGGUUCUUUGAAAAGGUAAACAAAAUUGACAACACCCUGCCUAGACUCACUAAGAAGAGGAGAAAAAGAACCCAAAUAAACAAAGUUAUAAAUGAAAAAGGAGAAAUCACAACAGAUACAGCAGAAAUACAAAAAACCAUAAGAGAAUACUAUGAACAACUGUAUGCCAACAAAUUUGACAAUCUGGAAGAAAUGGACAGCUUUCUAGAAUCUUACAGCCUGCCAAAACUGAAUCAAGAAGAAAUAGACCACUGAACAGACCGAUCACUAGAAAUGAAAUUGAAUAUGUCAUAAAAACACUCCCUACAAAUAAAAGUCCAGGACCAGAUGGCUUCAUGGGCAAAUUUUACCAAACAUACAUAGAGGAACUGGUGCCCAUCCUCCUUAAGCUUUUUCAAAAGGUUGAAGAAGAAGGAACACUCCCAAAGACAUUCUAUGAUGCCACUAUCACCCUAAUUCCAAAGCCACACAAAGAUACCACCAAAAAAGAAAACUAUCAGCCAAUAUCUUUGAUGAACAGAGAUGCAAAAAUUCUCAACAAAAUUUUAGCCAACUGAAUCCAACAACAUAUCAAAAAGAUCAUACACCAUGACCAGGUGGGAUGCAUCCCAGGUUCACAAGGUUGGUUCAACAUACACAAAUCAAUCAAUGUCAUACACCAUAUUAACAAAAGAAAAGUCAAAAACCAUAUGAUCAUCUCAAUAGAUGCAGAAAAAAAUCAUUUGGCAAAGUCCAACAUCCAUUUAUGAUAAAAACUCUCACCAAAAUAGGUAUAGAGGGAACAUUCCUUAACAUAAUGAAAGCCAAACCCACAGCAAAUAUAAUACUCCAUGGAGAAAACCUGAAAGCCUUCCCACUAAAAUCUGGAACAAGACAGGGAUGCCCAUUCUCACCACUGCUGUUCAACAUAGUAUUGGAAAUCCUAGCCACAGCAACAAACAAAAGAAAUAAAAGGCAUACAAAUAGGACGGGAAGAGAUAAAACUGUCACUGUAUACAGAUGACAUGAUACUAUACAUAGAAAACCCUAAGGACUCAACCCAAAAACUGCUUGAACUGAUCAA